GGAAUCAAAUACACAGUAUUUACAGAAAAAAGUCUUCGUUUAUUGGGAAAGAAUCAAUAUACUUUUAAUGUCGAAUCGGGAUUCACUAAGACAGAAAUAAAGCAUUGGGUCGAACUCUUCUUUGGUGUUAAGGUGUUAGCUGUGAAUAGCCAUCAACUACCUGGAAAAGGUAGAAGAACAUUGAUAUAUACAUUUUGUCAUCUUAUUCGCAAAUUUCACAUUGGAGCCUUGGAGACAUAUCCAAAAUGUAUAUACGCCGAAGAUACACAGUAG
rnacentral:rRNA from 1 species